ensembl:snRNA U6 U6 spliceosomal RNA
AUGCUGACUUCAGCAGUACAUGGACAAAACCUGGAAGGACACAGAAGAGAUUAAUAUGACCCCUGUGGGAGGAUUACACACAAAUAUAAGCAAUCCACAUUUUU